GGUGCAGCUGCUACAGGGGAGUCCAUCCAGUUCUCAUCAUCAUCAUCCACCUCUGUCACCAUCGCUGGGUCCUCUUCCUCCAUGGGGACGGUCUCGUUGUCGGAGAUGUCCACCACUGGCUGGGACGACUGGGGCGUGAACUGAGAGAUGUAGCUCCUGGUGCUGGCACGGCGAGACCUCGUGACAGGCGGCAUCUAUAAAUUUUAUUUUAAGAUUAGAUCAACAUUUUGGCAAUAGAAUAAGUGAUAUAAGCAUGAUAAAUUUUAUAAAAUAACAAAAAGUAAGGUAGAAAGCAUUAAAUAAAUAAAACAAAAACACUAUAUCGACCAUUGCUACCUAGGCUUGCGUCCUACAGUCAACACGGCUUUGAUACCAAUUUGUCACACCCAAUUUCAAGGAAGAAAUUGAAUGCAUAAACUUAUGUGCGCCCAGAGAUCAAUCACACACAUAAGUCACAAAUUAAAUACCAUCAUCGCAGUGUUUACAACAAACGUAGUUAUUACAUCACAAAGUCUGGCAUAACAGCGGAAAUAUAAAUAUGAUAAUCUAAGAUAACUAUCUCAUGGCCCUCACACAGGGAAGGUCGACUGGUGAAGCACAAGCCUAAUAGUCCUCAGGGUAGUCCUCAUAGCCACCACCAUCUGUUACCCAUCCGGGAUUUUUAUCCAAGAAAAGAAAUAUACAAGCGUGAGUACAUCUCGUACUCCACAAGCAUAGCAUGAGGAUUUAUGAGGCUCAAACAGGCUAAACUAGGUUCACUGCAUCAGCUUUUAGUAGGUCAGUUUUUUAUCAUUAAUUAUUAUAGUUUAUGCUUAAGCUCCCAAAUAUCCCAUAUGAUCAGUUAUUAGAACCAUAGAAAGUCAUUAAGUCACAUUAAAGCAUAAUUAUACAUCAUCAAGUACCAUAUAGCCAUCAGUAACCAGUUAUUCUGUGAGUUUUCCGGGCCGCUCGUGACCGUGUGCACGGCUGUUAUAACAGUUAUACACUCUGCAGAGGUUGUCCACUUUCACCGUGAGUCGUGUUGCCCAUAUGCCCGGGAUCCGUCGACCCCCAAACACUACCAAGGUGAGCGGGCAGGGUACACUAUGAAGCCUUCCAUAGGCCUAUUCUAACCAGUUAGGGCCGCGAGGUUUCCUCGGCAGACAGAUGUAGAAAACCCCCCUUUCCUAUGGCACAUUUCCAUCGCGGCUAUACUCAUAGAAACAGGGGCAGCCCUACACCCAAAGUGGCAAGCGCCUCUUGCGCCCUUUCGGGUAACCUCUAACGAGUUAGAAAAGGUCCUAUUACUGAGCUAAAGUCAGAGCCAUAUGACUCUCCCGGUUGCACGGUAAGUCCCAGCUUUUGCCGACACAUAAGUCCUUACGGAGGGUCUAGGACAACCUGACCAACAGUCAUUUGUACCAUAGCCCUAUGUUCCAUUUAUUAUAAUCAUGUUUAAUCAAUCAACCAUGGUUCUAUCACUGAUUUCAGAUUAUAUAUAAUUGGAGUUAGAGCACUAGCACUUCUACCCAUAUGCAAUAAAAACCCUUGGGAACAAGGUAAUUGUCAUCAACAGCUAGGAUGUCCUUAUAGUUUGCAAUAUUAUACACAUGCAGGGUGAAAUGCUUAAAAAUGAGUAGGACAACAAGGUAGGCCCAUGCUAUACUUGCCUUGAUUCACGUACUCCUGCUGGUCUUGCUGGUCCUGCUGAUCCCCAAAGAGCUCCGGACUCCCGAAAUACUCCUCACCGUCUGGGCUCGAUCAAUACAUCACAAUCAUCACGCAUACCAAGACAAACAUGCAAG
rnacentral:lncRNA from 1 species